UGCUAUUUUGCAGGUCAUAUUGAAGGGAAAAGAUGUUCGUCUGAUGAUGAUUGCAUUCCUGGAGCCUGUGCAGAAGGGUACGAUCAUUGUAUGGGUCAACUUGGAGGGAAAAUAUGUUCAUCUGAUGACGAUUGCGGUGCUAGAGUCUGUAUACCAGGGUGCGAUCAUUGUAUAGGUGGGCAUUAACAGUGUUAUCAAAUGAUCACUACUUAAUAAUUUGUCGGCAUGAUCAAUUUGCCCAAUUGCUCAUUCAUCAAUGAAAAUCUUAUUGAGGCGGGUUGCCCAUUUCACCUGUAGUAUAUUCAACUAUGUCGACUUUGAAAUAAAUGAAACAUGCUUUGUGUUGAAUUAGAAAAAUGUAAA